AACACAUGCAAGUCGAGGGGCAGCAUGGGCUUAGCUUGCUAAGCUGAUGGCGACCGGCGCACGGGUGAGUAACGCGUAUCCAACCUUCCCCUUACGUAGGGCAUAGCCGGUGAAAAUCGGAUUAAUACCCUAUGUUCUUCACAGCGGGCAUCUAACGUGAAGCAAAGGUUCACCGCUAAGGGAUGGGGAUGCGUCUGAUUAGGUAGUCGGCGGGGUAACGGCCCACCGAGCCAUCGAUCAGUAGGGGUUCUGAGAGGAAGGUCCCCCACAUUGGAACUGAGACACGGUCCAAACUCCUACGGGAGGCAGCAGUGAGGAAUAUUGGUCAAUGGUCGAGAGACUGAACCAGCCAAGUAGCGUGCAAGGAUGACGGCCCUAUGGGUUGUAAACUGCUUUUAUGCGGGGAUAAAGUCACCCACGUGUGGGUGUUUGCAGGUACCGCAUGAAUAAGGACCGGCUAAUUCCGUGCCAGCCGCUGC
rnacentral:rRNA from 1 species